rnacentral:tRNA from 1 species
GGGGUUGUAGCUCAGCGGAAGAGCACUUGCCUUGUAAGCGUGAGGUACUGGGUUCAAUCCUUAGCACCA